AUGAACGCUGGCGGCGUGCCUAAUACAUGCAAGUCGAACGCUUCACUUCGGUGAAGAGUGGCGAACGGGUGAGUAAUACAUAAGUAACCUGGCAUCUACAGGGGGAUAACUGAUGGAAACGUCAGCUAAGACCGCAUAGGUGUAGAGAUCGCAUGAACUCUAUAUGAAAAGUGCUACGGGACUGGUAGAUGAUGGACUUAUGGCGCAUUAGCUUGUUGGUAGGGUAACGGCCUACCAAGGCGACGAUGCGUAGCCGACCUGAGAGGGUGACCGGCCACACUGGGACUGAGGCACGGCCCAGACUCCUACGGGAGGCAGCAGUAGGGAAUUUUCGGCAAUGGGGGAAACCCUGACCGAGCAACGCCGCGUGAAGGAAGAAGUAAUUCGUUAUGUAAAAUUCUGUCAUAGAGGAAGAACGGUGGAUAUAGGGAAUGAUAUCCAAGUGACGGUACUCUAUAAGAAAGCCACGGCUAACUACGUG
rnacentral:rRNA from 1 species